rnacentral:ncRNA from 2 species
GAUUUAUACAGAAGAAGGGAGAGGCAGUCUCGUUGAACUUCUAGCAACUUUCCAUAGGAAAAAGUGCUCAAACUGAUCUAGAAAUAGAUUAUAAAUU